AUUGAACGCUGGCGGCAGGCCUAACACAUGCAAGUCGAGCGGAUGAAAGGAGCUUGCUCCUUGAUUUAGCGGCGGACGGGUGAGUAAUGCCUAGGAAUCUGCCUGGUAGUGGGGGAUAACGUUCCGAAAGGAACGCUAAUACCGCGUACGUCCUACGGGAGAAAGCAGGGGACCUUCGGGCCUUGCGCUCUCAGAUGAGCCUAGGUCGGAUUAGCUAGUUGGUGAGGUAAUGGCUCACCAAGGCGACGAUCCGUAACUGGUCUGAGAGGAUGAUCAGUCACACUGGAACUGAGACACGGUCCAGACUCCUACGGGAGUCAGCAGUGGGGAAUAUUGGACAAUGGGCGAAAGCCUGAUCCAGCCAUGCCGCGUGUGUGAAGAAGGUCUUCGGAUUGUAAAGCACUUUAAGUUGGGAGGAAGGGCGUUUGGCUAAUAUCCAGGCGUUUUGACGUUACCAACAGAAUAAGCACCGGCUAACUUCGUGCCAGCAGCCGCUGUAACAC
rnacentral:rRNA from 1 species